CUCUUGACAUUUGACCUCAAAUCAGGUAGGGUUACCCGCUGAACUUAAGCAUAUCAAUAAGCGGAGGAAAAGAAACUAACAAGGAUUCCCCUAGUAACUGCGAGUGAAGCGGGAAAAGCUCAAAUUUAAAAUCUGGCAGCUUUGCUGUCCGAGUUGUAUUCUGGAGAAGUGCUUUCCGCGCCGGACCGUGUAUAAGUCUCUUGGAACAGAGCGUCGUAGAGGGUGAGAAUCCCGUCUUUGACACGGACUACCAGUGCUUUGUGAUGCGCUCUCAAAGAGUCGAGUUGUUUGGGAAUGCAGCUCAAAAUGGGUGGUAAAUUCCAUCUAAAGCUAAAUAUUGGCGAGAGACCGAUAGCGAACAAGUACCGUGAGGGAAAGAUGAAAAGCACUUUGGAAAGAGAGUUAAACAGUACGUGAAAUUGUUGAAAGGGAAACGCUUGAAGUCAGUCGCGUCUGCCGGAACUCAGCCUUGCUUGCCGCUUGGUGUAUUUUCCGAUUGACGGGCCAGCAUCGAUUUUGACUGCCGGACAAGGGUUUGCGGAAUGUGGCAUCUUCGGGUGUGUUAUAGCCGCGAGUCGUAUACGGCAGUUGGGAUCGAGGACCGCAUUUUGAGGAUGCUGGCGUAAUGGCUUUAAGCGACCCGUCUUGAAACACGGACCAAGGAGUCUAACAUGCCCGCGAGUGUUUGGGUGGAAAACCCGAGCGCGUAAUGAAAGUGAAAGUUGAGACCUCUGUCGUGGAGGGCAUCGACGCCCGGACCUGAUCUUCGGUGACGGAUCUGAGGUAGAGCGUGUAUGUUGGGACCCGAAAGAUGGUGAACUAUGCCUGAAUAGGGUGAAGCCAGAGGAAACUCUGGUGGAGGCUCGUAGCGAUUCUGACGUGCAAAUCGAUCGUCAAAUUUGGGUAUAGGGGCGAAAGACUAAUCGAACCAUCUAGUAGCUGGUUCCUG
rnacentral:rRNA from 1 species